AUCAAUAAGCGGAGGAAAAGAAAAUAACAAUGAUUUCCCUAGUAACGGCGAGUGAAGAGGAAAGAGCUCAAAGUUGGAACCUGUUUGGCCUAGCUAAACAGGAUUGUAAACUGUAGAAGUGUUUUCCAGGCAAUCCGAGUUAAUAAGUCCUUUGGAACAGGGCAUCAUAGAGGGUGAGAAUCCCGUCUUUGAUUCGAGAAUUUUUUGCCUUUUGCGAUACACUUUCAAAGAGUCAGGUUGUUUGGGAAUGCAGCCUAAAUUGGGUGGUAAAUCUCACCUAAAGCUAAAUAUUGGCGAGAAACCGAUAGCGAACAAGUACCGUGAGGGAAAGAUGAAAAGAACUUUGAAAAGAGAGUUAAACAGUAUGUGAAAUUGUUAAAAGGGAACCGUUUGGAGCCAGACUGGCUUGUCUGUAAUCAAUCUAGGCUUUGGCCUGGAUGCACUUGCAGACUAUGCCUGCCAACGACAAUUUGAUUUGAGGGAAAAAACUAGAGGAAAUGUGGCCAGCUUUUUUUUGUUGGUGUUAUAGUCCUUUAGAAAAUACCUUGGAUUGGAUUGAGGAACGCAGCGAAUGCUCUUGUGGCGAGUCUUUGAUAAGUCUUUACAGAUAUGACUGGGUGUUAARAAACCCAGAACUUGAAGUUUAAACUUGUUUUUUUGUACUUUAAUUCGCUUAGGUUGUUGGCUUAAUGACUCUAAUGAC
rnacentral:rRNA from 1 species